CCUACGGGGUGCAGCAGUGGGGAAUUUUCCGCAAUGGGCGAAAGCCUGACGGAGCAAUGCCGCGUGGAGGUAGAAGGCCCACGGGUCGUGAACUUCUUUUCCCGGAGAAGAAGCAAUGACGGUAUCUGGGGAAUAAGCAUCGGCUAACUCUGUACCAGCAGCCGCGGUAAUACAGAGGAUGCAAGCGUUAUCCGGAAUGAUUGGGCGUAAAGCGUCUGUAGGUGGCUUUUUAAGUCCGCCGUCAAAGCCCGGGGCUCAACCCUGGACAGGCGGUGGAAACUGCCAAGCUGGAGUACGGUAGGGGCAGAGGGAAUUUCCGGUGGAGCGGUGAAAUGCGUAGAGAUCGGAAAGAACACCAACGGCGAAAGCGCUCUGCUGGGCCGAUACUGACACUGAGAGACGAAAGCUAGGGGAGCGAAUGGGAUUAGAUACCCCUGUAGUC
rnacentral:rRNA from 1 species